GCCGCCCUCCAGUCCAGCGGACGCCGCCGGAAUGCCAGAACGCCGCCCCAGCUCCGAAGCCGCCAGCUCCGCCAUUAAGCCUCAGCGCAGACGGAGACGGAGAUGGGAGACACGACAAGAAAAGUCGCGUCCCCCC